rnacentral:siRNA from 1 species
ACGUUGCCAUAAAAAAGUCUUGUC